GAUGAACGCUAGCGGCAGGCUUAACACAUGCAAGUCGAGGGGUAUUGGUUUUCGGACCAAGAGACCGGCGCACGGGUGCGUAACGCGUAUGCAAUCUACCUUUUGCAGAGGGAUAGCCCAGAGAAAUUUGGAUUAAUACCUCAUAGUAUAGUACUUUGGCAUCAAGGAACUAUUAAAGUCACAACGGCAAAAGAUGAGCAUGCGUCCCAUUAGCUAGUUGGUAAGGUAACGGCUUACCAUGGCUACGAUGGGUAGGGUCCUGAGAGGGAGAUCCCCCCACACUGGUACUGAGACACGGACCAGACUCCUACGGGAGGCAGCAGUGAGGAAUAUUGGUCAAUGGGCGCAAGCCUGACCAGCCAUGCCGCGUGCAGGAAGACGGUCCUAUGGAUUGUAAAUGCUUUUANACAGGAANAACCCUCCACGUGUGGAGCUU
rnacentral:rRNA from 1 species